CACGUAGGGUGCGAGCGUUGUCCGGAAUUAUUGGGCGUAAAGAGCUCGUAGGCGGUGUGUCGCGUCGGCCGUGAAAACCUGCAGCUUAACUGUGGGCUUGCGGUCGAUACGGGCAUCACUGGAGUUCGGCAGGGGGAGACUGGAAUUCCUGGUGUAGCGGUGAAAUGCGCAGAUAUCAGGAGGAACACCGGUGGCGAAGGCGGGCCUCUGGGCCGAUACUGACGCUGAGGAGCGAAAGCCGUGGGGGAGCGAACAG
rnacentral:rRNA from 1 species